GAAAUGGUUUUAGUGACGAAAUAUUUUCGUCACUAAAUACUGUUUUUAGUGAGGAAAACAUUUAGCGACGAAACGUUUUCGUCGCUAAAAGUUUUUUUUUUUAAAAACAAAUCGGACUUUUAGUGACGAAAUUUUUCGUCGCCAU